UAACGCGUAGGUAACCUACCUCAUAGCGGGGGAUAACUAUUGGAAACGAUAGCUAAUACCGCAUAAGAGAGACUAACGCAUGUUAGAAUUUAAAAGGGGCAAUUGCUCCACUAUGAGAUGGACCUGCGUUGUAUUAGCUAGUUGGUGAGGUAAAGGCUCACCAAGGCGACGAUACAUAGCCGACCUGAGAGGGUGAUCGGCCACACUGGGACUGAGACACGGCCAG
rnacentral:rRNA from 1 species